AUUGUGUGAAUACAUAGCACAUUCGAGGUAGACGCAGAGAACUGAAACAUCUAAGUACCUGCAGGAAGAGAAAGAAAAUUCGAUUCCCUGAGUAGCGGCGAGCGAAACGGGAAAAGCCCAAACCAGCAAGCUUGCUUGUUGGGGUUGUAGGACUCCAAUAUGGUAGUUCUUUCAGAUAGUCGAAUGACUUGGAAAAGUCAGUCAAAGAGGGUAAAAACCCCGUAGACGAAAUGUGGAAGACACCUAGGAGGAUCCUGAGUACGGCGGAACACGAGAAAUUCCGUCGGAAUCCGGGAGGACCAUCUCCCAAGGCUAAAUACUCCCUAGUGACCGAUAGUGAACCAGUACCGUGAGGGAAAGGUGAAAAGCACCCCGGAAGGGGAGUGAAAUAGAACCUGAAACCGUGUGCCUACAACAAGUCAAAGCCCGUUAAUGGGUGAUGGCGUGCCUUUUGUAGAAUGAACCGGCGAGUUACGAUUGCAUGCGAGGUUAAGUUGAAGAGACGGAGCCGCAGCGAAAGCGAGUCUGAAUAGGGCGUUUGAGUAUGUAGUCGUAGACCCGAAACCAUGUGAUCUACCCAUGUCCAGGUUGAAGGUGCGGUAAAACGCACUGGAGGACCGAACCCACGUACGUUGAAAAGUGCGGGGAUGAGGUGUGGGUAGCGGAGAAAUUCCAAACGAACUUGGAGAUAGCUGGUUCUCUCCGAAAUAGCUUUAGGGCUAGCCUCGGAAUUGAGAAUGAUGGAGGUAGAGCACUGUUUGGACUAGGGGCCCAUCUCGGGUUACCGAAUUCAGAUAAACUCCGAAUGCCAUUCAUUCAUAUCCGGGAGUCAGACUGUGAGUGAUAAGAUCCAUAGUCGAAAGGGAAACAGCCCAGACCACCAGCUAAGGUCCCAAAAUAUAUGUUAAGUGGAAAAGGAUGUGGGGUUGCACAGACAACUAGGAUGUUGGCUUAGAAGCAGCC
rnacentral:rRNA from 1 species